rnacentral:tRNA from 1 species
AGAGAGGUGUCCGAGUGGUUUAAGGAGCACGCUUGGAAAGCGUGUAUACUAGCAAUGGUAUCGAGGGUUCGAAUCCCUUCCUCUCUUCAA